rnacentral:rRNA from 1 species
UACGGAGGGUGCGAGCGUUGUCCGGAAUCACUGGGCGUAAAGGGUGCGUAGGCGGCGCGGUAAGUCGGGUGUGAAAUCUCGGGGCUUAACUCCGAAACUGCAUUCGAUACUGCCGUGCUUGAGGACUGGAGAGGAGACUGGAAUUUACGGUGUAGCGGUGAAAUGCGUAGAUAUCGUAAGGAAGACCAGUGGCGAAGGCGGGUCUCUGGACAGUUCCUGACGCUGAGGCACGAAGGUCAGGGGAGCAAACGGG